rfam:Oceanimonas sp. GK1, complete genome.
AAAGUUCAGCCAUUACGUAUCCUCGACGGGCUUUGUAAUGGCUUUUUAUUCGUUAAUAUGUAGGAGUGCAUAGUGGCCCGUAUCGCUGGCAUUAACAUUCCUGAC